UACAGAGGGGGCAAGCGUUGUUCGGAAUUACUGGGCGUAAAGGGCGCGUAGGCGGCCUGUUAAGUCGAACGUGAAAUCCCUCGGCUUAACCGGGGAACUGCGUCUGAUACUGGAUGGCUUGAGUUUGGGAGAGGGACGCGGAAUUCCAGGUGUAGCGGUGAAAUGCGUAGAUAUCUGGAGGAACACCGGUGGCGAAGGCGGCGUCCUGGACCAACACUGACACUGAGGAGCGAAAGCCAGGGGAGCAAACGGG
rnacentral:rRNA from 1 species